GUGCCAGCAGCCGCGGUAAUACAGAGGGUGCUAGCGUUGUUCGGAAUUAUUGGGCGUAAAGGGCGCGUAGGCGGCCUCGCAUGUCGAAUGUGAAAGCCCACCUCUUAAAGGUGGAAUUGCAUUCGAAACUGCAAGGCUGGAGUGCCGGAGAGGGUGGUGGAAUUCCUGGUGUAGAGGUGAAAUUCGUAGAUAUCAGGAGGAACACCGGUGGCGAAGGCGGCCACCUGGACGGUAACUGACGCUGAGGCGCGAAAGCGUGGGGAGCAAACAGGAUUAGAUACCCUCGUAGUCC
rnacentral:rRNA from 1 species